rnacentral:lncRNA from 1 species
CCCGAAAUUUUUUGUUCCACCUUAUAGUGAACUAUCAUUAAGAUUGGUUCCAUUUCACUCCAAAAAACAUGCCGGACAAAAUAGGUGGAAGUAUAACUAGAUUUGCCAUUGCAAGCAAUAGCGGAUGGCACCCUUCCCCUAUUGCCAGGUGAGCGGUAGCCAUGGUUACGGCGGCCAUUUUGAAAUUCCAAACUCAAAAAUCAAGUCUACAUUAGCUGAGCAACAUUUGUUUUAAAUUUCAAUAAAUUUGAAGCAUUUUGAAGUUUUUCGUAUAUUUGCUGUUUCCAUGGUAACGGCGGCCAUUUUGAAUAUUCCAAAGUCAAACCCCCGCUGCAAUUUUUUUCCUCCACAAUCAUAUACCAUUUAAUGUCUCUAGAAUAAAUUAAACAUUGAUGUUCUAGAAUGUUCUGUGAAAAUUCAAAGUUUUGACCUUUUUGCAUUGUUUCCAUGGUAACAACAGCGAUUUUGGAAAUUUCAACGCCAAAUUCCACAUCUUCCAAUGUUGCUCAUCGUUGCUGUGAAGUUUCAUUAAGUUUGGAACAUUUUGAGAUUUUUGAAAUUUUUGGAGUAGUUUCCAUGGCAACAUAGUAGUUCCAAUGAGUGCCAAAAAUCAUCCAACACCUGUAUAUAGUGGGCACCUACAUUGUAUUAAAUAUAAUGAUUCUGAGUUAAUAGUAUCCAAAUCGUUCACCAAAACAAAAAAACUGGAUUUUUUCACAUUUGUUCCGUUUCCAUGGUAACGGCAGCCAUCUUGAAAGUGCCAACCCCAAAAAGCAAAUCUUCAUCUGGUGGUUAACAUAAUGGUAUAGUACCAUCUUGUUGGGUCCAUUCACAUUAGAGUUCCAGACUGGACAAAAAUGUGUGGAAGAAAAAUAAUAAUAACUAGAUUUGCCAUUGCAAGCAAUAGCGGAUGGCACCCUUCCCCCAUUGCCAGGCGAGCGGCAGCCAUUUUGAAAAUUCCAAAAUCAUAGAGUGCAUCUACUCAUGCCAAUUGUCAAUUUUGUAAAGUUUCAUUAAGUUUGGAGAAAUUUUGAAAUUUUUGAAAUUUUUGCUGUUCCCAUGGAAACGGCGGCCAUUUUGAAUAUUCCAAAGUCAAACCCCCGCUGCAAUUUUUUCCCUCCAUUAUCAUAUAUACCAUCAUAUACCAUUUAAUGUCUCUAGAAUACAUUUAACAUUGAUGUUCUGGAAUGUUCUGUAAAAAUUCAAAGUUUUGACCUUUUUGCAUUGUUUCCAUGGUAUCUACAGAUAUUUUGGAAAUUCCAACGCCAAAUUCCACAUCUUCCAAUGUUGCUCAUCGUUACUGUGAAGUUUCAUAAAGUUUGGAGCAUUUUGAUAUUUUUGAAAUUUUUGGUUUAGUUUCCAUGGCAACAUAGUAGUUCCAAUGAGUGCCAAAAUCAUCCAACACCUGUAUAUAGUGGGCACCUUCAUUGUAUUAAAAUAUAAUGAUUCUGAGUUAAAGCAUAUUCAAACAGUUCACCAAAACAAAAACAGAAUUUUUCACAUUUGUUUCGUUUCCAUGGCAACGGCAGCCAUCUUGAUGGUGCCAUACCCCACUGCACUAUAGAAUGUGGUGGUCUACAUUAUGCUAUAGUUCCAUCAAUAUUGUUGAAGCCAAUUCCGAGAAAUAGAAUGGACAAAAAAGUGUGGAAGAAUAAAUAUAAUAAUAAGAAUAAUAAGAAAAAAAGAAACGAACAAUAACAAUAUGUCACCCCAACUCCGUUGAGGGUGCCAUAAUAAUAACUAGAAUUGCCAUUGCAAGCAAUAGCGGAUGUCACCCUUCCCCCAAUUGCCACUAAGCGGCAGCCAUUUCAGAAUCGUUUAACAGUGAAUGCACAUAUAUGCAUGGCAAUACAUCUUUCUGUAAAUUUUCAGUACAUUCACAGCAUUUUAAAAAUUUCACAUUUCUGCCGUUUCCAUGGCAACGGCAGCCAUUUUGAAAAUUUCAAAGUCAAAAGCCUCUUCAUUACUUGUCAGUUAACAAUAAUAUCA